AAAAGCUUUCGCAUUACGGCACUCUUAAAGCGGCAGUGUCCAAUUUCUCCUUCAAUCUCCUGAAUCUCAACCUGCAAGCGCCCGCACACAGAUCCGCUUUGCGCAGCUCUCUUCCUCGCAGAUGGGUCCUGGCUGAAGCUGCAAGAGUCGCUGGCAGGCUGCUGCGGCUCCCAGUGGGGAGGCAGGACCUCCAAUGAGGAGUGUCAGGUACCAAAGCCCUUUAUGAAGGUGGAUGGUAUCUUGAUGUACAGAAGAUGCAGAGACACAGAGAGGGGGCAAGGCCAAGAGGACAGCCAUCAGGAGUGCCUCCAGUUGUGGGUACCCAACUUGAAAUACUUUAGGCCAAGUUUUUGGACGUGUCGAGCACCUGCAGCUCCCAAAUCAGAGGCGACUUUUGAAAAUCCCUCCCCUGACUCUCAUCAUAAUUGCACCCCCCCUUUGGUAAUUGGUUUUAAGUCUAAAUGGUUUAAUUUUUCCACCCUCCGAUGCCAUCUUGUUCAUUUUUCAUUCUGCAAAGCUUGGGGGAGGGGGUGUAUAGUUUGUUAUGAAAAAGCCAAUGCACAAGGCAGCUAUAAUGCUGGGUAUUAAAUGGCCAGUAGCUGAAGAUGCAUGGGCCAGCGGUGUACCACACUGAACUACACCCCAAACAGGUCUCCAGAAUCAUGGCUUCUAUGCAAUCCUGCUUUCCCAGAGGCUCAGUGGAAGCGACAACAGACACGGUGCGUCUCCAAAUCUCUGGGAUCAUUUAUAGGGUGGAUGCAAUGCACCAAAGUAGAGGGGUUGAGAAAGUUAAUCGGUAAAGCCUCCAAGCUUGCCCAAGUAUCUAGUGCUAAACUCAGCCUGGUGUAGCUGGGCCAGCAUAAGGGAGUGUCCAUGUGCCUUUAUCUGAUCCUUAUUUCAUCAGUAGAUCUGUAUUUUUUUCCAGUGGAACUGAGUGUUUGAGAAAAGUGUUAGCUUGGCACCUUGGGAGUCUGCAGCUCUCCAUGCACAGCAAGGGCAUUAGCAGUGCAGGCUUCUCCUGGGCUGUGCCAUCCGUGUGCCUGAGUCCAUGACAGGGAUUGUCCUCCAGGGGCCAGAGGGGAUUUCAUUCUCCAUGGCUCACCAGGUCCCAGUCCUACAAGGUACUGACUGCCCGCAACAUCACUGGGAGUCUAGGGCAGUCAGCACCUCCGAGAAGGUGCUCAGCACUUUGUAGGAUCACACCCUUGAUCCUUGACCUCCCUGCUGCACUUUCAAAUGAAGGUGCCAAUGAGUGGUAAAUAUAUUGGUGAGUUUGUGAUGUGUGCUCGUGUCCAUGGGGAACUGGGCUGACACCCAAAAGCUCAUGUAACAUACUUAGAAAGAGACACAAGCUGGUCCAGUGGCUAAGGCACUAGGCUGGGACUCAGGAGACCUAGGUUCUGCUCUGCUGCUGACCAGGCAUGUGACCUUGGGCACGUCACUUCUCCUACUCCUACCACCGUUUGUUUGUCUUGUCUAUUUAGAUGGUAAGCUCUUUGGAGUAAGGACUGUCUCUUAUUGUGUGUGCAUGUACAGCACCAAGCCCCCUGGGGCUCUGAUCUCAAGGUGGGUCCUCUAGAUGUUAUUGUAAGAUAAACAAUAAAAUAGUAAUAGCAAUAUCAUCUUCCUUGAGGAUCUCAAAGCACCUACAAACAACACUCCAACAAACAAACAAACUUCACAACACCACCCUGUGCAGUAGGUAAGGGAUAUAUAGAGCUUGUCACUUCACCCACCACUGAAUAACCAAACUCUUCUGGUUCACAGAAUAAGAUGGAGAAUAAUAACAAAGCGUCACAUCACUGCCACUGUGAUAUAGCUCAGCCACCUUGCUUCUGUGCAGUACAUUGAGGCGUGCAUUUAACAGCCUGGACUGUGAUCCAAAAUCCUGUACUAAGGCGCUGCUGCAGUGCAGCUCAGUAAAAAUAACACAGCUGUGCAGUUUGGCCCAGUUAACAUGGGUGUGAGGACUGUCGCUUCAUUAUUUUCUGACCUUGGUGCAUUUUUAAAUUCUCAUCCUUAAUGAUGCAUUAACAUCAGGUUUCUUUGCAUUAAAUUAUCACGUGUUCAGAAGAGGCCGUUGAGUUUCCUCGGCAGUAUUCAUGCAGUUCAGCUUUUUCCAAGUGCAGCACUGCACAUCAGAUCUGCAUUGUGGAAUUCAGUGCAAUGCAGCUCCCUGCAGCACCACGCCAUCACAAUGGGGACAUCACUGACCUGCUGGCUUUGUGCUUUGUCCUCAAGGUGUUUCCCAGAUAUAAUGCCGUUGUCUGUAACAAAAUAAUUAGCAAAACUUCUCAGACAGUACAAAUAAAGCUACUGUGAUUGUUAAACCUGAAUUAGUCAAUCAGAAAUCAAUACGAAAGUAGAAGCUGGUAUUCAAAGAUGCACUAUCCACAUGGAAUAAUAAAAAUAUUGAUUUAAAUGGACACUGAGCUUUUUUAAAAUCUCUCUGUAUAGAAUCUAUGUAAAUCCUUAUUUGGGGUUUUCUCCCCAUAAUAAGUAUGUCAAUGUAGUUGUUUACAAGGAAGGAAGGAAGGAAGGAAGACCUCAAUGCCAGCAAAUUAGCCGUUAAGAAAAACUCUGCAUCAACAUUCUUUGGAAGGAAAUAUCCCAAUCCUUCCCCCACCGAUGUCAAUGACAAAAUUCCCAUUGACUUAAAUGGGAACAGGGUUGGGCCCAAAAUUUCAAGACAGAUAUUUUUGCAUGUAUACACAUAGAAUCAUAGAAUAUCAGGGUUGGAAGGGACCUCAGGAGGUCAUCUAGUCCAACCCCCUGCUCAAAGCAGGACCAAUCCCCAACUAAAUCAUCCCAGCCAGGGCUUUGUCAAGCCUGACCUUAAAAACUUCUAAGGAAGGAGAUUCCACAACCUCCCAAGGUAACGCAUUCCAGUGUUCCACCACCCUCCUAGUGAAAAAGUAAUAUCCAACGCAAACCUCCCCCACUGCAACUUAAGACCAUUACUCUUCAUUCUGUCAUCUGCUACCACUGAGAACAGUCUAGAUCCAUCCUCUUUGGAACCCCCUUUCAGGUAGUUGAAAGCAGCUAUCAAAUCCCCCCUCAUUCUUCUCUUCCGCAGACUAAACAAUCCCAGUUCCCUCAGCCUCUCCUCAUAGGUCAUGUGUUCCAGACCCCUAAUCAUUUUUGUUGCCCUUCGCUGGACUCUCUCCAAUUUAUCCACAUCCUUCUUGUAGUGUGGGGCCCAAAACUGGACACAGUACUCCAGAUGAGGCCUCAUCAAUGUCAAAUAGAGGGGAACAAUCACGUCCCUCGACCUGCUGGCAAUGCCCCUUCGUAUACAUCCCAAAAUGCCAUUGGUCUUCUUGGCAACAAGGGCACACUGUUGACUCAUAUGCAGCUUCUCGUCCACUGUAACCCCUAGGUCCUUUUCUGCAGAACUGCUGCCUAGCCAUUCGGUCCCUAGUCUGUAGCGGUGCAUGGGAUUCUUCCAUCCUAAGUGCAGGACUCUGCACUUGUCCUUGUUGAACCUCAUCAGAUUUCUUUUGGCCCAAUCCUCUAAUUUGUCUAGGUCUCUCUGUAUCCUAUCCCUACCCUCCAGCGUAUCUACCUCUCCUCCCAGUUUAGUGUCAUCUGCAAACUUGCUGAGAGUGCAAUCCACACCAUCCUCCAGAUCAUUUAUGAAGAUAUUGAACAAAACCAGCCCGAGGACUGACCCUUGGGGCACUCCACUUGAUACCGGCUGCCAACUAGACAUGGAGCCAUUGAUCACUACCCGACAAUCUAGCCAACUUUCUACCCACCUUAUAGUCCAUUCAUCGAGCCCAUACUUCUUUAACUUGCUGGCAAGAAUACUGUGGGAGACCGUGUCAAAAGCUUUACUAAAGUCAAGGAACAACACGUCCACUGCUUUCCCCUCAUCCACAGAGCCAGUAAUCUCAUCCUAGAAGGCAAUUAGAUUAGUCAGGCAUGUCUUGCCCUUGGUGAAUCCAUGCUGACUGUUCCUGAUCACUUUCCUCUCCUCUAAGUGCUUCAGAAUUGAUUCCUUGAGGACCUGCUCCAUGAUUUUUCCAGGAACUUUGGUGAGGCUGACUGGCCUGUAGUUCCCAGGAUCCUCCUUCUUCCCUUUUUUAAAGAUGGGCACUACAUUAGCCUUUUUCUAAUCGUCCGGGACUUCCCCAGAUCGCCAUGAGUUUUCAAAGAUAAUGGCCAAUGGCUCCGCAAUCACAUCCGCCAACUCCUUUAGCACUCUCGGAUGCAGUGCAUCUGGCCCCAUGGACUUGUGCUCGUCCAGCUUUUCUAAAUAGUCCCAAACCACUUCUUUCUCCACAGAGGGCUGGUCACCUCCUUCUUAUGCUGUGCUGCUCAGUGCAGUAGUCUGGCAGCUGACCUUGUUUGUGAAGACAGAGGCAAAAAAAGCAUUGAGUACAUUAGCUUUUUCCACAUCCUCUGUCACUAGGUUGCCUCCCUCAUUCAGUAAGGAGCCCACACUUUCCUUGACUUCCUUCUUGUUGCUAACAUACCUGAAGAAACCCUUCUUGUUACUCUUAACAUCUCUUGCCAGCUGCAACUCCAGGUGUGAUUUGGCCUUCUGAUUUCACUCCUGCAUCCCCGAGCAAUAUUUUUAUACUUUUCCCUGGUCAUUUGUCCAAUCUUCCACUUCUUGUAAGCUUCUUUUUUGUGUUUAAGUUCAGCAAGGAUUUCACUGUUAAGCCAAGCUGGUCGCCAGCCAUAUUUACUAUUCUUUCUACACAUCGGGAUGGUUUAUCCCUGUAACCUCAAUAAGGAUUCUUUAAAAUACAGCCAGCUCUCCUGGACGCCUUUCCCCCUCAUGUUAUUCUCCCAGGGGAUCCUGCCCAUCAGUUCCCUGAGGGAGUCAAAAUCUGCUUUUCUGAAGUCCAGGGUCUGUAUUCUGCUGCUUUCCUUUCUUCCCUGUGUCAGGAUCCUGAGCUCGACCAUCCCAUGGUCACUGCCUCCCAGGUUCCCAUCCACUUUUGCUUCCCCUACUAAUUCUUCCCAGUUUGUGAGCAGCAGGUCAAGAAGAGCUCUGCCCCUAGUUGGUUCCUCCAGCACUUGCACCAGGAAAUUGUCCCCUACACUUUCCAAAAACUUCCUGGAUUGUCUGUGCACUGCUAUAUUGCUCUCCCAGCAAGUAUCACACACACACUCAUGCACGUACAGGUGUCAAUGCCUUUUCUCACUUUGAGGUGCCAUUGUAAAUAAAAAACGGGGAGAAUUAUCUCCUGUAAAUGUAAACAAACUUUUUCCUCAUAGCGAUUGGCUGAACAAGAAGUAGGACUGAGUGGACUUGUAGGCUCUAAAGUUUUACAUUGUUUGGUUACUAAGUACAGUUAUGUAACAAAAAAAAAAUCCACAUUUCUAAGUUGCACUUUCACAAUAAGAGAUUGCACUACAGUACUUGUGUGAGGUGAAUUGAAAAAUACUAUUUCUUUUGUUUGUCAUUUUUACAGUGCAAAUAUUUGUAAUCAAAAGUAAUAUAAAGUGAGCACUGUACACUUUGUAUUCUGCAUUGUAAUUGAAAUCAAUAUAUUUGAAAAUGUAGAAAAACAUCCAAAAAUAGUUAAUAAAUGUCAAUUGGUAUUCUAUUAACAGUGCGAUUAAAA